AGCGGCGAGUGAAGCGGCAAAAGCUCAAAUUUGAAAUCUGGCUCUUUCAGAGUCCGAGUUGUAAUUUGAAGAAGGUAUCUUUGGGUCUGGCUCUUGUCUAUGUUUCUUGGAACAGAACGUCACAGAGGGUGAGAAUCCCGUGCGAUGAGAUGAUCCAGGCCUAUGUAAAGUUCCUUCGAAGAGUCGAGUUGUUUGGGAAUGCAGCUCUAAGUGGGUGGUAAAUUCCAUCUAAAGCUAAAUAUUGGCGAGAGACCGAUAGCGAACAAGUACAGUGAUGGAAAGAUGAAAAGAACUUUGAAAAGAGAGUGAAAAAGUACGUGAAAUUGUUGAAAGGGAAGGGCUUGAGAUCAGACUUGGUAUUUUGUAUGUUACUUCUUCGGGGGUGGCCUCUACAGUUUAUCGGGCCAGCAUCAGUUUGGGCGGUAGGAGAAUUGCGUUGGAAUGUGGCACGGCUUCGGUUGUGUGUUAUAGCCUUCGUCGAUACUGCCAGCCUAGACUGAGGACUGCGGUUUAUACCUAGGAUGUUGGCAUAAUGAUCUUAAGUCGCCCGUCUUAA
rnacentral:rRNA from 1 species